rnacentral:rRNA from 1 species
GAUGAACGCUGGCGGCGUGCCUAAUACAUGCAAGUCGAGCGAACAGACGAGGAGCUUGCUCCUCUGACGUUAGCGGCGGACGGGUGAGUAAAACGUGGAUAACCUACCUAUAAGACUGGGAUAACUUCGGGAAACCGGAGCUAAUACCGGAUAAUAUAUUGAACCGCAUGGUUCAAUAGUGAAAGACGGUGUUGCUGUCACUUAUAGAUGGAUCCGCGCCGCAUUAGCUAGUUGGUAAGGUAACGGCUUACCAAGGCAACGAUGCGUAGCCGACCUGAGAGGGGGAUGCGCCCCACUGGAACUGAGACACGGUCCAGACUCCUACGGGAGGCAGCGGUAGGGACUCUUGCGCAAUGGGCGAAAGCCUGCAGGAGCAACGCCGGGUGAGUGAUGAAGGUCUUCGGAUCGUAAAACUCUGUUAUUGGGGAAGAACACAUGUGUAAGUAACUAUGCACGUCUUGACGGUACCUAAUCAGAAAGCAACGGCUAACUACGUG